GACCGCGGGAAUUCGAUUCAGACCAAACACAUGCAAGUCGAAAGAGACCUUCGGGUAUAGUGGCGCACGGGUGCGUAACGCGUGGGAACCUGCCCUUAGGUUGGGAAUAACUCAGAGAAAUUUGAGCUAAUACCAGAUAAUGUCUUCGGACCAAAGAUUUAUCUCCUUAGGAUGGGCCUGCGUAGGAUUAGCUAGUUGGUGGGGUAAUGGCCUACCAAGGCGACGAUCCUUAGGUGGUUUGAGAGGAUGAUCAGCCACACUGGGACUGAGACGCGGCCCAGACUCCUACGGGAGGCAGCAGUGGGGAAUAUUGUAAAAGGGGCGAAACCCUGAUCCAGCAAUCCCGCGUGAUUUAAGGGGGCCUUAGGGUUGUAAAGCUCUUUUACCAGGGAUGAUAAUGACAGUACCUGAGA
rnacentral:rRNA from 1 species